CCUACGGGUGGCAGCAGUGGGGAAUAUUGGGCAAUGGGCGCAAGCCUGACCCAGCAACGCCGCGUGAAGGAAGAAGGCUUUCGGGUUGUAAACUUCUUUUCGGAGGGACGAAGAAAGUGACGGUACCUCAGGAAUAAGCCACGGCUAACUACGUGCCAGCAGCCGCGGUAAUACGUAGGGGGCAAGCGUUAACCGGAUUUAUUGGGUGUAAAGGGCGUGUAGGCGGGAAAGCAAGUCAGAUGUGAAAACUCAGGGCUCAACCCUGAGCCUGCAUUUGAAACGGUUUUUCUUGAGUGCUGGAGAGGCAAUCGGAAUUCCGUUUGUAGCGGUGAACUGCGUAGCUAUACGGAGGAACACCAGUGGCGAAGGCGGAUUGCUGGACAGUAACUGACGCUGCGGCGCGAACGCGUGGGGAGCAAACAGGAUUAGAUACCCCAGUAGUC
rnacentral:rRNA from 1 species